rnacentral:rRNA from 1 species
AGUGAACGCUGGCGGUAGGCCUAACACAUGCAAGUCGAACGGCAGCACAGUAAGAGCUUGCUCUUACGGGUGGCGAGUGGCGGACGGGUGAGGAAUACAUCGGAAUCUACUUUUUCGUGGGGGCGAACGUAGGGAAACUUACGCUAAUACCGCAUACCACCUACGGGUGAAAGCAGGGGAUCUUCGGACCUUGCGCGAUUGAAUGAGCCGAUGUCGGAUUAGCUAGUUGGCGGGGUAAAGGCCCACCAAGGCGACGAUCCGUAGCUGGUCUGAGAGGAUGAUCAGCCACACUGGAACUGAGACACGGUCCAGACUCCUACGGGAGGCAGCAGUGGGGAAUAUUGGACAAUGGGCGCAAGCCUGAUCCAGCAAUACCGCGUGGGUGAAGAAGGCCUUCGGGUUGUAAAGCCCUUUUGUUGGGAAAGAAAAGCAGCAGGUUAAUACCCCGCUGUUCUGACGGUACCCAAAGAAUAAGCACCGGCUAACUUCGUG